rnacentral:rRNA from 1 species
UACGUAGGGUGCGAGCGUUUAAUCGGAAUUACUGGGCGUAAAGCGUGCGCAGGCGGUUUUGUAAGCCAGAUGUGAAAUCCCCCGGGCUUAACCUGGGAAUGGCAUUUGGGACUGCAAGGCUGGAGUGUGGCAGAGGAGACUGGAAUUCCUGGUGUAGCAGUGAAAUGCGUAGAUAUCAGGAGGAAUACCGAUGGCGAAGGCAGGUCUCUGGGCUGACACUGACGCUCAUGCACGAAAGCGUGGGGAGCAACAGG